CUAGCUAUACCCCAAAACUUUAAUUUGCAAUAUUGAAUCUCCUAAUCUAUGGCUCCAAAUUAAUGCACUAAGAGACCGUUUGGUUAGAUGUAAUUAUAAAUAUAAUAUAAUUGGAGAUACGAGCAGUUGAAAAUAUAGUAAUUACAACUAUAUACAUUUUGUUUGGUUGGAUGUAGUAGAAAUCGCUGCAACUACAAAUAAUUUGUUUGGUUGUAUGCAGUUGAGAAAUAAUUUUUAAAAGUUUAUUAUUUUAUAUAUAUGAUGGUGAAAUUAUCUCCAAUAUAAAAGAAAUAUAUUUUUUGUUUAAAAAACAAUUAGAAAGUAAGCUUACCUGUUGCUUAAAAUUACUCUCUCUAACUGCUACAGUUGGAACUGUGGUCAAUCUGAGAGGCCCUUUGGUUAGAUGUAAUUAUAAAUGUAGUGUAGUCAGAGAUCUAUACAGUUGGAAAUACAACAGUUGCAACUACAUGCAUCUUAUUUAGUUGGAUAUAGUAGAAAGUGCUGCAAUUAUAAAUAAUUUGUUUGCUCGUAUACAGUUAAGAAAUGAUUUUUAAAACUUUAUUAUUUAUAUAUAUGAUGGUGAGAUUACCUCCAAUGUAAAAAAAUUUAUUUUUUAUUUAAAAAAAAUUAAGAAAAUAAGCUU
rnacentral:lncRNA from 1 species